rnacentral:rRNA from 1 species
AUUGAACGCUGGCGGCAGGCCUAACACAUGCAAGUCGAGCGGAUGAAGGGAGCUUGCUCCUGGAUUCAGCGGCGGACGGGUGAGUAAUGCCUAGGAAUCUGCCUGGCAGUGGGGGAUAACGUCCGGAAACGGGCGCUAAUACCGCAUACGUCCUGAGGGAGAAAGUGGGGGAGCUUCGGACCUCACGCUAUCAGAUGAGCCUAGGUCGGAUUAGCUAGUUGGUGGGGUAAAGGCCUACCAAGGCGACGAUCCGUAACUGGUCUGAGAGGAUGAUCAGUCACACUGGAACUGAGACACGGUCCAGACUCCUACGGGAGGCAGCAGUGGGGAAUAUUGGACAAUGGGCGAAAGCCUGAUCCAGCCAUGCCGCGUGUGUGAAGAAGGUCUUCGGAUUGUAAAGCACUUUAAGUUGGGAGGAAGGGCAGUAAGUUAAUACCUUGCUGUUUUGACGUUACCAACAGAAUAAGCACCGGCUAACUUCGUG